UACGUAGGGGGGCGAGCGUUGUCCGGAUUCAUUGGGCGUAAAGCGCGCGUAGGCGGCAGGGCAAGUCGGCCGUGAAAUCUCCCAGCUUAACUGGGAGGGGUCGGGCGAGACUGCCCCGCUAGAGGCGGGUAGAGGGCAGUGGAAUUCCGGGUGUAGUGGUGGAAUGCGUAGAGAUCCGGAGGAACACCAGUGGCGAAGGCGGCUGCCUGGGCCUGGCCUGACGCUGAGGCGCGAAAGCGUGGGGAGCGAUCCGG
rnacentral:rRNA from 1 species